UAUCCUUCCUACUAGAUUGGAUAUAUCUUCAAAACUCUACUCAAGAAUUACUUCUGGUGUGAAGCUGUCCAUGGAUGAGACUACUUGGCUACCUGUGUCUAAUUGUAUUUAGAACCCAUGCUUAUAGCACUGACUACAUAAUGGGAUUUGGAGUCCUGAGAAAUUACUACAGCCAGUGAUGUGCUGGAGCUAAACUCUACUCUUACAGGAGCCAGUGGAAUCAUCAGGCAAAGCUAGUAACAUCAGAGGUGUUCACUGAAUAGCUGAGUUGAAAAAACCCACCUUCUGGAAGCAGAGUGAAAGUGGAGUCUCAUGGUGGUCUGGGGAAUAUGGCAUUUCCAUUUACAGUCCAAGCAACAAGAAAAACAAGGUGAGAGCAUGAGAGGUGGGCAUCUUAAGGUAGUGGCAAAAGCAGAGUUUCAGGAAAAGCAAGGUGGAGAUAGUGGCUAUCCAGUAGGUUACUUAUUAUGUGGUAUGUCUCUCAGGAUCCUGCAUUUGCAUUCAAAGUCAGGGACUCAGGAAAACAAACAAGACUAAAUCGGGGUCCAAGUACAAGGGGGAAUGUGGGUACACAAGAAGGGGACUAGAAUAGAGCUUUGAACACAAGGAUCAAAGUAGAAGAUGCUUAUCAAGCUUGGGUCAAUACUGGAUGGCUGAGGAUGCUGAGCCAUUGCGUGUUGGUCCAAAUGAUUCAGAAAGAUCCUGGGAAAAGGUGUGCUGGGCCUUGAAACAUAUUUAGAGACACCAGACUUACAGAGGAUGGGAAGGUAGAAUAUUGGAGUUGAUUUCUAGAUCUUUCUCUCAUCUCAUGAUUUCCUUCAGAAUUUCCUGCACUGGUCUCAGGGCUUUCUCUACAUAUGAUUAAUCCUUUCUCCUUAUGCAAUCUUAACUAUAGGAUGGCCCCUUACCAGUUAAGACUGUCCCUUUCCACAUCUCCAGAAGGCCCUCACAAGUUAAGGAAGAAGCAAACUGUCAGCAAAAUCAGUCGAGUAAGCACAAGAAAAUACUGAAGCUUCUCUACCUCUGCUUCUCACAUUUUUGAUCUCAUACAGAAUGGCAGCCAGAGUAGUAAAGUACACUCAAGGAAAAAAUACGUUGCUCUUAUAAAAGUUAAA